rnacentral:tRNA from 1 species
GAGGAUAUAGCUCAGUGGUAGAGCACAUGGCCUAGCAUGCAUAAGGUCCUGGGUUCAAUCCCUAGUACCUCU